CAAUGCCACCUGUCCCCAGUGCCACCCGUCCCCAGUGCCACCCGUCCCCAGUGCCACCCGUCCCCAGUGCCACCCGUCCCCAGUGCCACCUGUCCCCAGUGCCACCCAUCCUCAAUGCCACCCGUCCCCAGUGUCACCAGGCCCAGCCACUGUCCCUGUACAGCUUUGGGUUUAUUUGAGCCGUUUGUGACACGGAGCAGCAAGGCUGGAGCCCCGUGGGGACAUCGGGGACCUCGCUGCGGUGACAGGGCCACCCGGGCACGGUGACCCGGUCACAUUGGCACAGGGAGGUGGCAGCUGCCCGGGGCGAGGCCACGCGGGUGGCUCAGGUGGCCGUGUCGGUGGCCGUGUCACCUGCGGUGUCACCUGCGGUGUCACUGGCCAGGGCCUUGGCCACCUUGUCCUUCAGGUAGGCCACGCGCUGCCGCUCCAGCUUCAGCUCCAGGAACUCGUAGUGGGGCACCUGCAGGGACACGGGGAGGUGGCAGCGCCCCGGGGUCCCCGCUGUGUCCCCUCUGUGUCCCCUGUGUCCCCUCCUGUCCUCACGGCACCAAUCCGGGGUCCCAGCGCCCGCCCGGCGUGCCGGUGACACCGGGGGGUGACAGUGACACUGGGGAGUGGCAGUGACACCGGGGGGUGACAGUGACACCAGAGCCUGGCAGUGACAGUGGGAGGUGACAGUGACACUGGGGGGUGACAGUGACAGCGGGGGGUGACAGCGACACCAGGGGGUGACAGUGACAGCGGGGCCUGGCAGUAACACCGGGAGGUGACAGUGACACCGGGGGCUGGCAGUGACACCACCAGGGGGGUGGCAGUGACACUGGGAGGUGACAGUGACACCGGGGGGUGACACGUGGCUGUCACUCCCCCCGGGCUAUAAUUACCCGCAGGGGUUAAUCCUGGCUGACCCCACGGAUCAGCUCGUCCGUGUCACCUCCCUGUCACCUCCCUGUCACCUCCCUGUCAUCCCCGCAGCUGGCAGGUGGCCCCGGGGGGAUCACGGUGACAAAUCCCUGCUGAGACCGGGCUGGG
rnacentral:lncRNA from 1 species